ACCCUCGUGGCUCGAAGGACGAGCGCUCGGUUGCGGACCGAGAGGGUGCAGGUUCGAGUCCUGCCGAGGGUG
rnacentral:tRNA from 1 species